rnacentral:rRNA from 1 species
CUACCCUUGACAUGUCAGAAAAUUUUCAGAGAUGAAUUUGUGCCCGAAAGGGAAUCUGAACACAGGUGCUGCAUGGCUGUCGUCAGCUCGUGUCGUGAGAUGUUGGGUUAAGUCCCGCAACGAGCGCAACCCUUGUCAUUAAUUGCCAUCAUUUGGUUGGGCACUUUAAUGAGACUGCCGGUGAUAAACCGGAGGAAGGUGGGGAUGACGUCAAGUCCUCAUGGCCCUUAUGGGUAGGGCUUCACACGUAAUACAAUGGCGCGUACAGAGGGUUGCCAACCCGCGAGGGGGAGCUAAUCUCAGAAAGCGCGUCGUAGUCCGGAUCGGAGUCUGCAACUCGACUCCGUGAAGUUGGAAUCGCUAGUAAUCGCGGAUCAGCACGCGGCGGUGAAUACGUUCCCGGGUCUUGUACACACCG